UACGUAGGGUGCAAGCGUUAAUCGGAAUUACUGGGCGUAAAGCGUGCGCAGGCAGUUUUCUUAAGUCAGAUGUGAAAUCCCCGGGCUUAACCUGGGAACUGCGUUUGAAACUGGGAGACUUGAGUGUGGCAGGAGGGGGGGUGGAAUUCCUGGUGUAGCGGUGGAAUGCGCAGAUAUCAGGAGGAACACCGAUGGCGAAGGCAGAUCUCUGGGCCGUAACUGACGCUGAGGAGCGAAAGCAUGGGGGAGCGAACAGG
rnacentral:rRNA from 1 species